ACGGUACCGGAGUAAGAAGCACCGGCUAACUACGUGCCAGCAGCCGCGGUAAUACGUAGGGUGCGAGCGUUAAUCGGAAUUACUGGGCGUAAAGCGUGCGCAGGCGGUUAGGUAAGUCAGAUGUGAAAGCCCCGGGCUCAACCUGGGAACGGCAUUUGAGACUGCCUAGCUGGAGUAUGGCAGAGGGGGGUGGAAUUCCACGUGUAGCAGUGAAAUGCGUAGAGAUGUGGAGGAACACCGAUGGCGAAGGCAGCCCCCUGGGCCAUGACUGACGCUCAUGCACGAAAGCGUGGGGAGCAAACAGGAUUAGAUACCCUGGUAGUCCACGCCCUAAACGAUGUCAACUAGGUGUUGGGAGGGUUAAACCUUUUAGUGCCGUAGCUAACGCGUGAAGUUGACCGCCUGGGGAGUACGGCCGCAAGGCUAAAACUCAAAGGAAUUGACGGGGACCCGCACAAGCGGUGGAUGAUGUGGAUUAAUUCGAUGCAACGCGAAAAACCUUACCUACCCUUGACAUGUCAGGAAUCCUGAAGAGAUUUGGGAGUGCUCGCAAG
rnacentral:rRNA from 1 species